rnacentral:rRNA from 1 species
AUUGAACGCUGACGGCAGGCCUAACACAUGCAAGUCGAGCGGUAGAGAGGUGCUUGCACCUCUUGAGAGCGGCGGACGGGUGAGUAAUGCCUAGGAAUCUGCCUGGUAGUGGGGGAUAACGCUCGGAAACGGACGCUAAUACCGCAUACGUCCUACGGGAGAAAGUAGGGGACCUUCGGGCCUUGCGCUAUCAGAUGAGC